rnacentral:sRNA from 1 species
ACUCAACAUUAACAAUCGUAAAAGAAGGUGAGUUGAGCCAGCUAAAGCGUGCCACCGUGCGUGGAUACUUGAUCUGCUCAGUAGCCUUAAACCUGUUUUUCAGAGUUU